ensembl:lncRNA
ACUGGAGUUGGAGGAGAGAGAGAGUAGAGGACAGCAAGAUGGAGAAGUGAAGAAAAAGUUGGUGCGGCUCAGUGUCCAAUCAGGAGUGAGCAGUUCUUUCACUGCCUUCAUUGCUGUCAACAAAGACAACAGCAGGGUGAUCCAAGGACCUCUUGUGCGCAGAAAUAUUCCGACACCCAUGACACUAAGAUUUGGAUCAGUAUUGCAUGGUCAUCCUAUAAGAAGAGGUAAGUACAAAGCAGAGUUAUUGGCGUUGGAAGGUACGUGUGUGCAUGGACGUUUGCUGCAUCCCUGAGAUUUAACACAUGUAUACCUGCAGCUGAGUGAAUGAAAGCAGGGCAGUGAUAAUGUUAAGAGCAGAGAGACACGGCAGUAUCCCCGUAUUUUUAAAAAAUAGCAAUCAGAAGAUUUUAGUUUUGAG